ACAAACUUGGUCAUUUAGAGGAAGUAAAAGUCGUAACAAGGUUUCCGUAGGUGAACCUGCGGAAGGAUCAUUAGUGAAGUUUGGGUGUCUCGUCAGAGAGCCCGUCUUUCCACGUUUUUCAACCCUGUGCACUUGUCGUCAGUGCGGGUCUCUUCUCCCUCUGACCCGCCUGAUUAGGAGCCCUUCAUUUAUUUAAAAAAUUUAUUUUUUUUUUUUAAACGCAAGUGAAUGAAUGUUAAACUAUGAUGGUGUAUAACCAAGAACCAAAUAAAACUUUCAACAACGGAUCUCUUGGCUCUCACAUCGAUGAAGAACGCAGC
rnacentral:misc_RNA from 1 species